CACGGGGCUGGCGCGUGCGCCCGAGGCGGCCGGGGCUCAGGGCCAGCCCGAGGGCCUCAGGGCUCCUGUGGUCGGGUAGUGACCAGGCUGUGGCACUCGGUGGUCACGUGACCGAGCAGCGACCGGGCGGCGGGAGCGCCUCAGCGGUGAACGAGUAAUUGCCGGUGGCGGGGCUGCCUUCGCGGUCACGUGAUCGGCUAAUUAUAGGCAGCGGGAGCGCCCUGGGUGGUCACGUGACCCGAUGGUUUUGCUUCUAAUGAGCCAAGUAAAAAUGAGAGUCAUUGAAAAAGGAUUCAAGUGGCAAAAAGAAUUUGGAAGCAAACUACAUAUUCUUCAACAUGGGACUGGUAACUCAAUUAAAGUACAUCCAACAAAUGGAGAUUGAGCAGUCCCCGUAAAGGACGACAGCGCGUCCAGGCCCUGGCCAUGGCAAGGGACCUCAGACCUACCCACUCCUGUGCCCGCUCGCCUGCUGGGGCUCUAGCUGAGGCAGGACCUGGAAGUCACUGGAUGAGGCUGCUCCCUGGGAGCCACUAGGUGGGAGCCACGGCCUGCCCCUGAGGUGGCUCCAGAGCACACAGCAGGGCAGGCUCUCUGUCCUCUGGGCCAGCCCCUCCUCAUGUUCACCCACACUCAGGCUGUCGUCUGCCUUUGAGACCUUUCUCUAUUCCAUUCUCCUGGGGGCUUCCCCAGUAUUCCUCAGCACCACCCUAAGUGAGGUGUUGUCCUGGUCCUUCCAGAGCCCUCUCCACGUGCCCCCGCCCGUUCUUCCUCCUGUUUGUUCCUGAGCCCAUCCAUCUGGGAUCUCCCUGCUUCUGUGGCUGCAAAGUCCUUUUUCUGCAUGGUAGUUAGAGGGGUCCUUUUGAAAUGCUGUCACUCCUCUGCAUAAACUCAUGAAAUGGUGAGCUAGCCUCCUGUGGAAAGCAGCCUCAUCCUUACCUCAGCGCCCCCUGCAGGGAUCUCACCUGUGCUUCACACAUCCCAGCUCCUGCCAGGCCGAGGGUCCCCAGGGCCCCAGCGGGGCAGCCCCCGCAUGGAGACAGUGUCUGUCUACUUGGUGUCCUUCCCAGGGCAGAGCUGGGCCCCUGUGUCUCUGCUUGGUCUUACCUGGAGAUUAGCCUUCCUGCAGGAGACCAGUUCUGAUUCAUCUGAGUCUCUGGCAUCCAGCCCUGGGCUGGGUCACAAAAUAACUGAGCAAGGACAGCACAUCCUGUGGGUUUCCAGCCCAUGGUUCUGGACAGACUUUGAGUCUCCAGUCUGCCCUCGGGCAAGCAUCCUAUCAGUUCUGUGCCUCAGUUUCUUCAUCUUUAAAAUCGGGAUAAGUGAUCUCUUAAAUGAAGAGUCCUGUAAAGUGCUUAGCUGCAAAAAGUUACCUAAAUACUAUCUCAGAAUAAAAUUUGUACAUGUGUUCAUGGCAGCAUUAUUCAUAACAGUGGAAAAGGUGGAAAUGACCCAAAAGUAAUGGAUGAAUAAAUUGUGGUCCAUCCAGAGAAGGAAGUAUUAUUAUUAUUCAGCUAUAAAAAGAAUUGAAGCAUGGAUAUAUGCUACAACAUAGAUGAAUUUGGAAAACAUUAUGCUGAGCAAAACAAGCCAGAUGCGAAAGACCACAUGUGUAAUUCCGUUUAUAGGAGAACGACCAGAAAAGACAAAUCCAUGCAGAGUGGUUGCCAGGGG